rnacentral:tRNA from 1 species
GCGGACGUGGCGAAACCGGUAGACGCAAGGGACUUAAAAUCCCUCGGACGCAAGUCCAUGCGGGUUCGAGUCCCGCCGUCCGCACCA